UAGGACAUGGUGUACGGGGUAGCACGGAGAAUUUUGGAUUCUUAGGGUUGGGUUCAAUUCCCAUUGUUCUAG
rnacentral:tRNA from 2 species